rnacentral:rRNA from 1 species
GAUUUCUGGCUUGGUGCGCCUGGCCCGCCACCGUUAGGUGUGUGAGUGCUGGGUCGCGCCUGCCAUCCUUCUAGAGAACGUCUCUACUCUUCAUUGAGCCGGAGGCGCAAUCUAGAUCUUUUACUUUGAAAAAAUUAGAGUGUUUAAAGCAGGCUUUUGCUAUGAAUACAUUAGCAUGGAAUAAUAAUUUAGGACUUCGGUUCUAUUUUGUUGGUUUCUAGGACUGAAGUAAUGAUUGAUAGGGAUAGUUGGGGGUGCUAGUAUUCAGCGGCCAGAGGUGAAAUUCUCGGAUUCGCUGAAGACUAACUUAUGCGAAAGCAUU